rnacentral:rRNA from 1 species
CCUACGGGAGGCAGCAGUGAGGAAUAUUGGUCAAUGGACGAGAGUCUGAACCAGCCAAGUAGCGUGAAGGAUGACUGCCCUAUGGGUUGUAAACUUCUUUUAUAUGGGAAUAAAAUGUUCCACGUGUGGGAUUUUGUAUGUACCAUAUGAAUAAGGAUCGGCUAACUCCGUGCCAGCAGCCGCGGUAAUACGGAGGAUCCGAGCGUUAUCCGGAUUUAUUGGGUUUAAAGGGAGCGUAGGUGGAUUGUUAAGUCAGUUGUGAAAGUUUGCGGCUCAACCGUAAAAUUGCAGUUGAAACUAGCAGGCUUGAGUACAGUAGAGGUGGGCGGAAUUCGUGGUGUAGCGGUGAAAUGCGUAGAUAUCACGAAGAACUCCGAUUGCGAAGGCAGCUCACUGGACUGCAACUGACACUGAGGCUCGAAAGUGUGGGUAUCAAACAGGAUUAGAUACCCCUGUAGUC